rnacentral:rRNA from 1 species
GACGAACGCUGGCGGCGUGCUUAACACAUGCAAGUCGAGCGGUAAGGCCCUUUCGGGGGUACACGAGCGGCGAACGGGUGAGUAACACGUGGGUGACCUGCCCUCAGCUCUGGGAUAAGCCUGGGGAAACCGGGUCUAAUACCGGGAUAUGACUCCAUGACGCAUGUUGUGGGGUGGAAAGCCUUGUGCGGGCUGAGGAUGGGCCCGCGGCCUAUCAGCUUGUUGGUGGGGUGAUGGCCUACCAAGGCGACGACGGUAGCCGGCCUGAGAGGGCGACCGGCACACUGGGGACUGAGACACGGGCCCAGACUCCUACGGGAGGCAGCAGGUGGGGAAUCUUGCGCAAUGGGCGAAAGCCUGACGCAGCGACGCCGCGUGAGGGAUGACGGCUGGUGUAACGU